rnacentral:lncRNA from 1 species
GGUCGAUACAGGACAGCCCCCAGUCCCAAGUUUGACGCAUCGGUGUGCAGUACAAAGGGCUUGGCAAAAUCUGGGAACCCCAGCACAGGUGGCUUUAUUAGGCAGUCAAUCAGUUUUUCGAGCGUUUCCUGAUGUUGCUCUGUCCACUCAAUCCGCUGACUUGAUGGAACCACGUGACUCUUGAGGUAAGUCCCUCUUUUCCCAUUACCUUUUGUGUGUACCUUGUUUUUGUCACUUUUCAGCAGGUCAUACAGGGGACACGCAAUCUUUGAGAAGUCUUUAAUGUAAGGCCGAUAGUAACUUAACAAACCUAAGAUCUUCCUCAAUUCUCCAACUGUAAGAAUAAGUCGUAUAUUCUUGCCUUCGAGAUCGCAAUUAUAAUUUCUGGUUCAGGUUAGGCUACUGAGCAGAGGAGACCAGGUACCCGGGACCAAAGAAUGAGACACACAAAGUGCAGUUCAUUCUAAGCUCAAUUUUUAUUAUGCCCAGUGGGUCACAUAUAUACUACAGUUUGAGGAAGUGAAACGAACAACAGUCUGGACAAAACUUGCCAGACCAGCAUAACAAAUUCCUAUUACAUCAUGAUCAGAUCAAAAUGUCAUGGUCAGCAAUUUGGCACUUCUCUUUAGAGCACAAUGGCCCAAUGUCCCUAGACACAAAAUACAGGAUACAAGAGGUUCAUCCAGAAUCUCACAAUGGCCACUUUAAGACAGUCAAAGACAUGUCUUACUUAAUCGUGAACAGUCUUGUGCAUCAUCUUAAUAAACAUCACAUUUUUGUAGAUGCUUCAAAAACUCCGUAUUUUACAGUAAACAACCAAAAUGUGGUUCUAUUUGGAAAUACUCUCUUUAUCUGGAGCACAGUUAUGUUUACUCCAGUGCUCUAGAUCAACUUGGGUAGGUUGACUCUGCAAAAUCUUAAUGUCUAUGUCAGGUACAUUUGUUAUAUGCACUGCCAUAGCUACCUGUAUUUUUGAUUCCCAUAUCAAAUGGUGAUUUGAUUUGAGCCUUGGCUGUCUUCUUUGCAGUCUUCAUCAGUCUUUUCUGUUUCCUACAGUCCUUGUUCCUUCCUCUCCUAUUCGCGUUCGUAAUCUGAGCCUUGGCUGCUUCUUUUGUCAGCUUCAUCUGCUUUUCUGUUUCCUACAGCCUGUUCUUCCUCUCCUAUUGCGUGACCCUUUACCUUUACUAUGGCCACUUCAGAGGGUAGCUGUACUGCUCUGGUUAACUGUCCUAUCAGAUUUGAAUGUGCUAUUGGUUUACCAUCUGCAGUUUUGAAAUCUCUAGCUUCCCAUGUUUUAGCAAAGUAGUGUACCACUCCCCAGGCAUACUUUGAAUCAGUGUAAAUUGUUACCCUUUUUCCUGCCAUUAGCUCACACGCUCUUAUUAACGCUACCAAUUCAGCAGCUUGAGCUGAAUUAUAGUCUAAAGCAAAAGCUUCCAGUGUUUCCCCAGUCUCAGACACCACAGCAUAGCCACAGAGGUAGAC